UAGACGCUGCUGACUUCAAGUUCCUGAAAAACAACUUGGGCAAACAUCUUAUUGUUUAGGCCACUUGGAGGACAUGCAAGUUUUUUGUAGCAACAGUUAAAGCAAGCUUGAUGCUGACGUCAGUACAGUUCAUUAUUUAUUAAGCAAGUUAUAGCUUAAUGGAUCUGAUGACUGCUCUCAGUUUCAAAAGGAGUGGACCCUCUUCUCACUGAUGCCAUGGACCAGCCCUAAGACAGACGGAGAUGGAGGUGAGAGUUCCAGACUCAGGACCUGUGUCCAGGAGACCCCUGUGUCACCCCCAGAGAAGCUGGUGUUUGAUCUCGGUCUUGAAGAAUGAGUAGACUUCCAGGUGGGGAAAGGACAUUCUGACAUGGAGAAGGAUGCGUGAGGUCAGGGAGAAAGGAGUGACCAGGGCACAUGCAAGUUGCUCUGCGGCUUGCCAGUAAGGUGAGGGUGAGGCCAGAAAGGUAAGGAAACAGGCAGUGGUGCCUCGUGACCGGCUAGUGGAUGGUCAAGGGUUUCAUGGUUCACAGCGCAGCGGCUAUUGGUGCAUAUUCUAUAGCAUGACCUCAGCGCAGGAGGAGAGGAACCACCGGUUAACUAUGAAGGGACAGCUCAAGGGAUGCUGGGAUGUCCACAUCAGCAUCAGCAUCAGCCUGACCUGGCAGUUUGACGUGUGUCGAUGGAUGUCCGCUAUGUUGUUAUGCGUAUAAUAUUGGAACUCCAGGGGAUCCGACGAGCAGGAUGUGAAGCUGGGCAUCGUGCUGUGCUGAGGACUUUGGACUUAAGCCUGAAGGCUGGAACCCGGGAGGCCGGGCUCCUUGGUGUGGCCGGUGUGAAGUCUGGCCAGAACUUCAGGGCGGUGGACAGGCGUGACGGAGACACCUGGGUCCCUGGAAUGCACGGGGCACAGGAGGCUGGAAGGGAGAGUGGGCAGUGGCUCCGAACAUCUCAGUUCCUGGAAGAUGUUGGGCUGCAGGAGAUGAGGGGUAGAAAAUACUGAACUGGGGAGAAA